rnacentral:rRNA from 1 species
UAACGGCUCACCAAGGCUAUGAUGGGUAGCUGGUCUGAGAGGAUUAUCAUCCACUACUGGAACUGAAACACGGUCCAGACUCCUACGGGAGGCAGCAGUGGGGAAUCUUGCGCAAUGGGCGAAAGCCUGACGCAGCGCCGCCUCGUGGGGGAUGGAGGCCUUCGGGUUGUAAACCCCUUUCAGCAGGGACGAAAACGACGGUACCUGCAGAAGAAGCGCCGGCUAACUACGUGCCAGCAGCCGCGGUAACACGUAGGGCGCAAGCGUUGUCCGGAAUUAUUGGGCGUAAAGAGCUCGUAGGCGGACUGUUGCGUCUGCUGUGAAAAGCUGGGGCUUAACCCUGGCCUUGCAGUGGAUACGGGCAGACUAGUGGUAGGUAGGGGAGAAUGGAAUUCGCGGUGUAGCGGUGAAAUG